rnacentral:rRNA from 1 species
GAUGAACGCUGGCGGCGUGCCUAAUACAUGCAAGUCGAGCGAACAGACGAGGAGCUUGCUCCUCUGACGUUAGCGGCGGACGGGUGAGUAACACGUGGAUAACCUACCUAUAAGACUGGGAUAACUUCGGGAAACCGGAGCUAAUACCGGAUAAUAUAUUGAACCGCAUGGUUCAAUAGUGAAAGACGGUUUUGCUGUCACUUAUAGAUGGAUCCGCGCCGCAUUAGCUAGUUGGUAAGGUAACGGCUUACCAAGGCGACGAUGCGUAGCCGACCUGAGAGGGUGAUCGGCCACACUGGAACUGAAACACGGUCCAGACUCCUACGGGAGGCAGCAGUAGGGAAUCUUCCGCAAUGGGCGAAAGCCUGACGGAGCAACGCCGCGUGAGUGAUGAAGGUCUUCGGAUCGUAAAACUCUGUUAUUAGGGAAGAACAAAUGUGUAAGUAACUAUGCACGUCUUGACGGUACCUAAUCAGAAAGCCACGGCUAACUACGU